UCUGGUGGCUUUAGCACGAGCAAAACACCCGAUCCCAUCCCGAACUCGGCCGUUAAGUGCCGUUGCGCCAAUGGUACUGCGUCUCAAGACGUGGGAGAGUAGGUCACCGCCAGACCUGAAAAGAAGCGAUCAUCUCUCUGACACGAUGAAAUACCGCACCGCAAAGAUCCGCGAUGCAAUUGGCGCGGGGUAGAGCAGCCCGGUAGCUCGUCAGGCUCAUAACCUGAAGG
rnacentral:rRNA from 1 species